UACGUAGGGGGCAAGCGUUGUCCGGAUUUAUUGGGCGUAAAGAGCGUGUAGGCGGCCUGAAAGGUCAGCUGUGAAAACUCGAGGCUUAACCUCGAGACGUCGGUUGAAACCAUCUGGCUAGAGUCCGGAAGAGGAGUGUGGAAUUCCCGGUGUAGCGGUGAAAUGCGCAGAUAUCGGGAAGAACACCCGUGGCGAAGGCGAGUCCCUGGACACUUCCUGACACUGAGGCACGAAAGCGUGGGGAGCAAACAGG
rnacentral:rRNA from 1 species